AUCUGCACUAUGGCCUCUGCUGUGGUGGUUGAGCCCUCUCCAUCCAUGUCUGUGGCCUGGAUGGUCAGUCUGUACUCGGGGACUUUCUGGGGAGAGAGGGGCAGAGAGCUCAUUCGAAGUCAGAUGAGAGACCACCCACCUGGCUGCCUCCUCGCCCCGGGGGAUCCAGCCAGCAGGCCGCUAGCCCAAAGGAGCUGUGGGACAGCAGAAGCAAAAGCAGCAGCAGCCAAGCCAAUCCAGGUGACCUGGGACGCCACCGCCCCUGCCGUGACCCUGGGGCGGCCAUGCGAGUCAGGCCUUGGCGCGCAGUACCUUCCCGAAGACUACUUGCCUCUCGGUCCAGGCCACUGGAAAUGACGCUAAUGGUCCCCGUGCUUUUGUGGAUGGUGAACAUGAGGUCGUGUGGUUCCUUCGGCUCCUGGCUAUGGAUGGAGUAAGCCACCACCCCGUUUGCAUUUUCUGGCAACACACUUUGGCUGCCUGUAGUAUGACACCGUCAUGUGAAGCUGGAAAACUAGCAGAGCUCAUGGAGGUGGAUGAAGUCAGCGGAAGGGGCAGCAGUGAUUAACUACUAUAACGAGCCAGCCACCCGCAGCCCACAGGAAUCCAGCGCCAGCUUUCAGGAGCCCCAGAGCCCCAGAGCCCCAGAGCGCACACAUCCAGGCAGAAUCCUCCUGGAAGGCUGGGAUGUGCGUGUGGGUGAGCGAAGAUUGCUUAGAGACAGCUCUGCCUCCUUGACGAUCUCCUCUCUGAGGAGGCCUGGGCUGCCUCGGCUUGAGGCGGCAAGGGACGAAAGGGACCUGGGCUUGAUUCCAUUCCAGAGGGUCCCGGGAGCCACGGGAUCCGUGGUACGGCCCUGACGUUUACUCUCCUGCUCACUGUUGCAGGCUCUUCGGAGAACCUUGCGUUGCCUUAACCCUAGAAAGCCAGGAAUGAUUGAUAUGAUAAAGACUAAAUCAGCUUAAAUACAGAAGAUAUUAUAUAU